UAGAAUUAAGGUUUGAUUAAGGAUUUAGGAUUUGGUUAAGAUUUGAUUUAGAAUUAAGGUUUAGUUUAGGAUUUAUGAUUUGGUUAAGGUUUGAUUUAGGAUUAGGAUUUGGUUAGGAUUUGGUUAGGAUUUAGUUUAGGAUUUGAUUUAGGAUUUAGGAUUUGAUUUAGGAUUUAGGAUUUAAUUUAAGGUUUAGGAUUUGAUUUAGUGUUUAGGAUUUAAUUUAAGAUUUAGGAUUUGAUUUAGGAUUUAGGAUUUGAUUUAGGGUUUAGAAUUUGAUUAGGGUUUGAUUUAGAGUUUGAUGAGGAUUUGAUUUGAGGUUUAGGAUUUUAUUAGAGUUUUUUUAGGAUUUAAGAUUUAGUUAGUUUUUGGCCUAAAGUUUGAAUGAAGUCCAAUAGGAUUUUAAUUAGGAUUAAAUUAAGAUUAAAUUGAGAUAUAUUUGUGAUCAUUCUAAUAUUUCUUUAAGAUUUCUUAUUAUUUCUUUGUAAUUCCUUUGAGGUUUCUUUGAAUUUUAUUAAAGCUUACUUAGUAUUGUUAUGGUCUAAUUAAAGUUUAAUUAUCAUUCUAUUAGAAUU
rnacentral:lncRNA from 1 species